AUUGAACGCUGGCGGCAUGCUUUACACAUGCAAGUCGAACGGUAACGGGCCGCAAGGUGCUGACGAGUGGCGAACGGGUGAGUAAUGCAUCGGAACGUGCCCAGUCGUGGGGGAUAACGCAGCGAAAGCUGUGCUAAUACCGCAUACGAUCUAUGGAUGAAAGCGGGGGACCGUAAGGCCUCGCGCGAUUGGAGCGGCCGAUGUCAGAUUAGGUAGUUGGUGGGGUAAAAGCUCGCCAAGCCAACGAUCUGUAGCUGGUCUGAGAGGUCGACCAGCCACACUGGGACUGAGACACGGCCCAGACUCCUACGGGAGGCAGCAGUGGGGAAUUUUGGACAAUGGGCGCAAGCCUGAUCCAGCAAUGCCGCGUGCAGGAAGAAGGCCUUCGGGUUGUAAACUGCUUUUGUACGGAACGAAACGGCGAGCUCUAAUACAGUUUGCUAAUGACGGUACCGUAAGAAUAAGCACCGGCUAACUACGUGCCAGCCGCCGCAGUAA
rnacentral:rRNA from 1 species